rnacentral:tRNA from 1 species
AUGGCUAUAGGUUAAUGGUAGACUGGUUGAUUUCCACUCAAUAUGUGCCGAUUCAACUUCGGCUAGCCAUA